UUCCACCUACACAGUCGGCCUCUCUCCCUCAUUUGUUAUCCUACUGCUGCAGGGCUCCCUUCCUCUGUCCCUUGCAGCAUCUUUACUGAGUUUUUGAUGUGGUUUUGCAGGUGUCUAAGGUGUGCAGGGUUGUUAACUCAAAAUCUGCAGAGCGGCUGCAGCUGUCCCUUCAUUUUUUUUUUGGCUUGGAGCAGCAACCGGACAUGGGAGGAAGAGGUGCAGAGGUUGCAGCCAUCUCACCCCUUUUGGCAAGUCUUUGGUCUUCGAACUAAAGGUUCUUAUAUUCAAAGGAGGAAGUGAAGUUUGGCUGGCGGUGGCCGCUGGUAGCUCUCGGCGAACAGACCGCACUCACGGCUAGGAAUAGAGUUCGUGAAGAAUAGAUCAGCAAAUGAAACACAGCCAUUGCUAUGUGUGCCAAGGGCAGUCUCCCGGCCUUGCUUGCAAUUUUCAGAUGAUCGCUUGGAAGACUCAAUAUGAGCAGGUGUCUUCCACACAUUGGAGUAGUCAUUCCACAAAGCAUCGGUAAAGUAUGCUGGUUUCUUCUUCUUCUGUUUCAAAUUAUAGAUAUAAUCCCCAUAUCUCUCUUUAUAUUUACCACAUAAGGCAAUCCUGUAGAGGUUUUGAUCAUAGCUCUCUGUGUUUGCGUGUUUCUGCAAAAUAAAUAGCAAAUGCAAGUUGAGGAUUGUUUAAAUAUAGUAAACAAAGGCUGGAAUCUUUAUAUUUAUCAGUAUAUUUAAAAUAGAGGCCAUAAACUUGAUAGAGAAAAGUGAAAAGUAUAUUUAUGCCUAUGAGUUAAUGGUUUUGAUCACGGCAUAUAUUGGCAGCGGCUCUUGAUUCUUGAAGGAAACAAUCUGCAUCAAUAUCAAUAAAUGGUUAGUAACUUCAAAAAGAUUAUAAAAAGGUAGUAUUAUUUAUGUUCACUUACUCUCCAUUCCUGAGGUGUAUAUACUUCCGGCCAUAUUCGUCUAGAGGACGAGGUGAAAAUAUAUAUUACAUGACUUGAAGUUAUUUAAUUAUAUGUUGUAGUGAAACAAAGACGUCUAGAUGUCCCCUAUAAUUGUAUAUCGACUUCAUACUGAUCAAAAAAGGUAACAAUACAUCUUUGAACUGAUAAGUUUUGCAA